rnacentral:tRNA from 1 species
GGGGAUGUGGCUCAGUGGCAGAGCACUUGCCUAGCAUGUGUGAGGCCUUGACUUCAAUUCUCAGCACCACA